UAACUGUCUGACUUAGUAAAUAACUCCCAAUGUCGUGAUAUGAAUCCCAUGCUGUAAACAUAGUAGGUAUCAUUGUACGUUCGCUAACUCAGACUUGGUACAAUCAUAACGUUAGUGUGAUUGUAGCGAACUAGCUGUUAAAACAUUCUAAUGUAGGUUACUGUUUUAUUUCUAUCAGUGGUCUGGCUGCAAAAGGGCAGACGCCAUUUCGCGACAGCUUCGCCAAGUUGGGGGACCUUAGAUCCUUAGUUAAAGCUGCUAACUAUAUAUUCCAGGUACACCUGUGCUGGCAUUGACCGCUUCUGCUGAUCGGGAAUCCAGAGCCAGGGUUAUGAAACAGCUUCAGAUGGACAAUCCAAUCAUUUUGGCUCUGAGCCCAAACAGAACAAACAUCAGACUGGGUCUGAUUAAAGUACCUGGCCAUACACUGGAGUGCCUACACUGGAUUGUGAGGGAUGU